rnacentral:rRNA from 1 species
CAGCAGCCGCGGGAAUACAGAGGAUGCAAGCGUUAUCCGGAAUGAUUGGGCGUAAAGCGUCUGUAGGUGGCUUUUCAAGUCCGCCGUCAAAUCCCAGGGCUCAACCCUGGACAGGCGGUGGAAACUACCAAGCUGGAGUACGGUAGGGGCAGAGGGAAUUUCCAGUGGAGCGGUGAAAUGCGUUGAGAUCGAAAAGAACACCAACAGCGAAAGCACUCUGCUGGGCCGACACUGACACUGAGAGACGAAAGCUAGGGGAGCAAAUGGGAUUAGAUACCCCCGUAGUCCCUGUCUCUUAUAC